rnacentral:lncRNA from 1 species
CUUAAUGCAAAUGAGGAAACUUAUUUGUAGACUAAGGAAGGAUGAUGAAAUUUUUAUCUUAUCUUAUUUAAGUUCAUACCUUUAAAGUAGUUUAAAUAUACUUAUGCACAACUAAUAAGAACAAAUAAAUUUUAAUUAAAAACUAAUAACAAAUAAAAUUUAAGUAAUAUGCAAAAUGAAAAGAAUAGGUUAGACUACAUACCUAGCUUCCAGCACUCACCAGCUUAAUAUAAGCAAGAUAAGGAAGAGAGAAA